rnacentral:rRNA from 1 species
CUUGUAGGCGGUUUGUCGCGUCUGCUGUGAAAAUCCGGGGCUCAACUCCGGACUUGCAGUGGGUACGGGCAGACUAGAGUGUGGUAGGGGAGACUGGAAUUCCUGGUGUAGCGGUGGAAUGCGCAGAUAUCAGGAGGAACACCGAUGGCGAAGGCAGGUCUCUGGGCCACUACUGACGCUGAGAAGCGAAAGCAUGGGGAGCGAACA